rnacentral:rRNA from 1 species
AGUAACGCGUGGAUAACCUGCCGCAUACCGGGGGAUAACAGCUGGAAACAGCUGCUAAUACCGCAUAUGCCCGCAGUGCUGCAUGGCACAGCGGGGAAAACUCCGGUGGUAUGCGAUGGGUCCGCGUCUGAUUAGGCAGUUGGCGGGGUAACGGCCCACCAAACCGACGAUCAGUAGCCGGCCUGAGAGGGCGGACGGCCACACUGGGACUGAGACACGGCCCAGACUCCUACGGGAGGCAGCAG